rnacentral:rRNA from 1 species
UACGUAGGGCGCAAGCGUUGUCCGGAAUUAUUGGGCGUAAAGAGCUCGUAGGCGGCUUGUCACGUCGAUUGUGAAAACCCGGGGCUCAACCCCGGGCCUGCAUUCGAUACGGGCAGACUAGAGUUCGGUAGGGGAGUCUGGAAUUCCUGGUGUAGCGGUGAAAUGCGCAGAUAUCAGGAGGAACACCGGUGGCGAAGGCGGGACUCUGGGCCGAUACUGACGCUGAGGAGCGAAAGCGUGGGGAGCAAACAGG